GAUGAAGAACGUAGCGAAAUGCGAUAAGUAAUGUGAAUUGCAGAAUCCAGUGAAUCAUCGAAUCUUUGAACGCACAUUGCGCCCGCCAGUAUUCUGGCGGGCAUGCCUGUUCGAGCGUCAUUUCAACCCUCAAGCACAGCUUGGUGUUGGGACUCGCGUUAAUUCGCGUUCCCCAAAUUGAUUGGCGGUCACGUCGAGCUUCCAUAGCGUAGUAGUAAAACCCUCGUUACUGGUAAUCGUCGCGGCCACGCCGUUAAACCCCAACUUCUGAAUGUUGACCUCGGAUCAGGUAGGAAUACCCGCUGAACUUAAGCAUAUCAAUAAGCGGAGGA
rnacentral:misc_RNA from 1 species